GUACUUACUCCUACGGGAGGCAGCAGUAGGGAAUCUUCCGCAAUGGACGAAAGUCUGACGGAGCAACGCCGCGUGAGUGAUGAAGGCUUUCGGGUCGUAAAACUCUGUUGUUAGGGAAGAACAAGUGCUAGUUGAAUAAGCUGGCACCUUGACGGUACCUAAUCAGAAAGCCACGGCUAACUACGUGCCAGCAGCCGCGGUAAUACGUAGGUGGCAAGCGUUAUCCGGAAUUAUUGGGCGUAAAGCGCGCGCAGGUGGUUUCUUAAGUCUGAUGUGAAAGCCCACGGCUCAACCGUGGAGGGUCAUUGGAAACUGGGAGACUUGAGUGCAGAAGAGGAAAGUGGAAUUCCAUGUGUAGCGGUGAAAUGCGCAGAGAUAUGGAGGAACACCAGUGGCGAAGGCGACUUUCUGGUCUGUAACUGACGCUGAUGUGCGAAAGCGUGGGGAUCAAACAGGAUUAGAUACCCGAGUAGUCCAGGCAU
rnacentral:rRNA from 1 species